CUUUUGCUCCAUUCUUUCCUUCUUAUUUUUCUAAGUCUUCUCAACUCUUAACUUCUAGCCAUCUUCAAUGCAAAUUUCAGCAGUCUUUGUACUGAGAAUCAAUGUAGGCAGAAGCAUGUGGAUGAAGAAACCAGACUAGAAAGUGCAAGGCAUGUGCCCGGUAUCAUACACAGUUGGCACAUAAUCAACAUGGAUACCAAGAGAUGCACAGAAGCUAGUUUUGGGGGCAGGCUGAGUCUUCAUCCAGCUUCCACUAUAAGUGUGCUAGGCUCUCUGUGAAGAUUUCCCUGUUGACGUGCAGAUGUGAUGAGGAAAUGACAAGAACACAUAAGACAUCCCUUUGAGCACUGUGUUGAGAGUUAUUGGUUCUAUAUUUCCUGCCAUAGUUAAGGCCCAGAGCUAAGAAUCCAGUGACCCCUAGGCCUUAUUGGGUCCAACUCUGUUUCAUUCUGUAACAUCCCAUCCUGUCUAGUCCUGAAGCUCUGGGACAACAAGCUCAAGGAGAGUUCAUUGUGGAGACUGCUGACCAAAGAGGGAGAAUCAACGUUUCAAUUAAAAAAAAAAUUUUUUUUCACUUUACAAUACUGUAUUGGUUUUGCCAUACAUCAACAUGAAUCUGCCACGGGUGUACAU
rnacentral:lncRNA from 1 species